rnacentral:rRNA from 1 species
GAUGAACGCUAGCUACAGGCUUAACACAUGCAAGUCGAGGGGAAACGGCAUUAAGUGCUUGCACUUUUUGGACGUCGACCGGCGCACGGGUGAGUAACGCGUAUCCAACCUUCCCAUGACUAAGGGAUAACCUGCCGAAAGGCAGACUAAUACCUUACGGUCUUCACUGACGGCAUCAGAUGUGAAGUAAAGAUUUAUCGGUUAUGGAUGGGGAUGCGUCUGAUUAGCUUGUUGGCGGGGUAACGGCCCACCAAGGCAACGAUCAGUAGGGGUUCUGAGAGGAAGGUCCCCCACAUUGGAACUGAGACACGGUCCAAACUCCUACGGGAGGCAGCAGUGAGGAAUAUUGGUCAAUGGGCGAGAGCCUGAACCAGCCAAGUAGCGUGCAGGAUGACGGCCCUAUGGGUUGUAAACUGCUUUUGUAUGGGGAUAAAGUCAAUCACGUGUGAUUGUUUGCAGGUACCAUACGAAUAAGGACCGGCUAAUUCCGUG